UACAGAGGGUGCGAGCGUUAAUCGGAAUUACUGGGCGUAAAGCGCGCGUAGGCGGCUUUGCAAGUCGGGUGUGAAAUCCCCAGGCUUAACCUGGGAACUGCAUUCGAGACUGCAUUGCUAGAGUAUGGGGAGAGGGAAGUGGAAUUUCCGGUGUAGCGGUGAAAUGCGUAGAUAUCGGAAGGAACAUCAGUGGCGAAAGCGACUUCCUGGACCAAUACUGACGCUCAUGGUGCGAAAGCGUGGGAGCAAACAGG
rnacentral:rRNA from 1 species